rnacentral:rRNA from 1 species
UGAGGAAUAUUGGUCAAUGGACGCAAGUCUGAACCAGCCAUGCCGCGUGCAGGAUGACGGCUCUAUGAGUUGUAAACUGCUUUUGUACGAGGGUAAACCCGGAUACGUGUAUCCGGCUGAAAGUAUCGUACGAAUAAGGAUCGGCUAACUCCGUGCCUGCAGCCGCGGUAAUACGGAGGAUUCAAGCGUUAUCCGGAUUUAUUGGGUUUAAAGGGUGCGUAGGCGGUUUGAUAAGUUAGAGGUGAAAUGCCGGUGCUUAACACCGGAACUGCCUCUAAUACUGUUGAGCUAGAGAGUAGUUGCGGUAGGCGGAAUGUAUGGUGUAGCGGUGAAAUGCUUAGAGAUCAUACAGAACACCGAUUGCGAAGGCAGCUUACCAAACUAUAUCUGACGUUGAGGCACGAAAGCGUGGGGAGCAAACAGGAUUAGAUACCCUGGUA